CGUGCCCGCACCGGGCCCUUUGCUCUAAGCACUCUGCAGCGGGGAGGCCGGGCAGGCGCCGGUUCCUUGCUUUCGAAGGACCUCCCUCCCUCCCUCCAGGUAGACCGGGUAGGAACCUGCUCCUUUGACUAGAAGAGCCAGGCGGGCGGCAGGCAGGCAGGCAGGGAGCGUGGCCAUUCCUUGCCUGCCUUCCUCCAGGUAGACCGGUUAGGAACCUGGACCUUGCUUUAGAAGCGUCAGGGGGCAGGCAGGCAGGCAGGCAGGAAGGCAGGCAGGCAGGGAGCGUGACCGUCCCCUGCCUGCCUCCCCCCCCCCCAGGUAGACCGGGUAAGAACCUGGCCCUUCGUAUAGAAGCGCCAGGCGGGCAGCAGGCAGGCAUGCCGGUAGGUAGGCAGGCAGGCAGGCAGGCAGGCAGG